rnacentral:rRNA from 1 species
UACAGGGGGUGCAAACGUUGCUCGGAAUCAUUGGGCGUAAAGCGCACGUAGGCGGUUCGUUAUGUCGGAUGUGAAAGCCCUUGGCUUAACCGAGGAAGUGCAUCCGAAACUGGCGAGCUAGAGUACUAAAGAGGAUCGCGGAAUUCCCGGUGUAGCGGUGAAAUGCGUAGAUAUCGAGAGGAACACCUGCGGCGAAGGCGGGUUGCUGGGCUGACACUGACGCUGAGGCGCGAAAGCCAGGGGAGCGAACGGG